GUCCUUUUGAUAUAAAUUUAAGGUCUAGCCUGCCCACUGAAUAAUUUUUAAAUGGCCGCAGUAAUUUGACUGUGCAAAGGUAGCAUAAUAAUUAGUUUUUUAAUUAAAAGCUUGUAUGAAAGGUUGGACGAAAUAAAAUCUGUCUCUAUUUAAUUUAAUUUAGAAUUUAAUUUUUAAGUUAAAAAGCUUAAAUAUUAUUAAAAGACGAGAAGACCCUAUAGAUCUUUAUAAUUUUUAUUUUAAAUUUAAUUAAGAAUUUUUAAUUUUUUAUUUUAAAAAUUAUUUUAUUGGGGUAAUAUAAAGAUUAAAAUAAUUCUUUUUAUUUAUAAACAUUUAUUUAUGAUUUUAAUGAUCCAAUUAUAUUGAUUAUAAGAUUAAGUUACCUUAGGGAUAACAGCGUAAUUUUCUUGAAGAGUUCUUAUCAAUAAGAAAGUUUGCGACCUCGAUGUUGGAUUAAAGAUUAUUUUAGGUGUAGAAGCUUAAAAUUUUGGUCUGUUCGACCAUUAAAUCUUUACAUGAUCUGAGUUCAGACCGGCGUAAGCCAGGUUGGUUUCUAUCUUUAAUAAUUUAAAAUAUUUUAGUACGAAAGGACCAAAUAUUUAAUAUAUUUAUAUUUAAUUUUUGAAUAUUAUUAA
rnacentral:rRNA from 1 species